rnacentral:rRNA from 1 species
AUUGAACGCUGGCGGCAUGCCUUACACAUGCAAGUCGAACGGCAGCACGGGAGCAAUCCUGGUGGCGAGUGGCGAACGGGUGAGUAAUACAUCGGAACGUGCCCAAUAGUGGGGGAUAGCCCGGCGAAAAGCCGGAUUAAUACCGCAUACGACCUGAGGGUGAAAGCGGGGGAUCGCAAGACCUCGCGCUAUUGGAGCGGCCGAUGUCAGAUUAGCUAGUUGGUGGGGUAAAGGCCUACCAAGGCUACGAUCUGUAGUUGGUCUGAGAGGACGACCAGCCACACUGGGACUGAGACACGGCCCAGACUCCUACGGGAGGCAGCAGUGGGGAAUUUUGGACAAUGGGCGCAAGCCUGAUCCAGCAAUGCCGCGUGCAGGAAGAAGGCCUUCGGGUUGUAAACUGCUUUUGUCAGGGAAGAAAUCUUCUGAGUUAAUACCUCGGGAGGAUGACGGUACCUGAAGAAUAAGCACCGGCUAACUACGUG